rnacentral:rRNA from 1 species
CCACACGACUCUCGGCAACGGAUAUCUCGGCUCUCGCAUCGAUGAAGAACGUAGCGAAAUGCGAUACCUAGUGUGAAUUGCAGAAUCCCGCGAACCAUCGAGUCUUUGAACGCAAGUUGCGCCCGAGGCCACUCGGCCGAGGGCACGCCUGCCUGGGCGUCACG